UACGUAGGGGCAAGCGUUGUCCGGAAUCAUUGGGCGUAAAGCGCGUGUAGGCGGUUCAGUAAGUCUGCUGUGAAAGUCCAGGGCUCAACCCUGGGAUGCCGGUGGAUACUGCUGGACUAGAGUGCGGAAGAGGCGAGUGGAAUUCCCGGUGUAGCGGUGAAAUGCGCAGAUAUCGGGAGGAACACCAAUUGCGAAGGCAGCUCGCUGGGACGUUACUGACG
rnacentral:rRNA from 1 species